rnacentral:rRNA from 1 species
UGGGGAAUAUUGCACAAUGGGGGAAACCCUGAUGCAGCGACGCCGCGUGAGCGAAGAAGGUUUUCGAAUCGUAAAGCUCUGUCCUAUGAGAAGAUAAUGACGGGAUCAUAGGAGGAAGCCCCGGCUAAAUACGUGCCAGCAGCCGCGGUAAUACGUAUGGGGCGAGCGUUGUCCGGAAUUAUUGGGCGUAAAGGGUACGUAGGCGGUCUAUUAAGUCAGGUGUGAAAGCGUGAGGCUUAACCUCAUUAAGCACUUGAAACUGAUAGACUUGAGUGAAGGAGAGGAAAGUGGAAUUCCUAGUGUAGCGGUGAAAUGCGUAGAUAUUAGGAGGAAUACCGGUGGCGAAGGCGACUUUCUGGACUUUUACUGACGCUCAGGUACGAAAGCGUGGGGAGCAAACAGG